GACGAACGCUGGCGGCGUGCUUAACACAUGCAAGUCGAACGGAAAGGCCCUGCUUUUGUGGGGUGCUCGAGUGGCGAACGGGUGAGUAACACGUGAGUAACCUGCCCUUGACUUUGGGAUAACUUCAGGAAACUGGGGCUAAUACCGGAUAGGAGCUCCUGCUGCAUGGUGGGGGUUGGAAAGUUUCGGCGGUUGGGGAUUGACUCGCGGCUUAUCAGCUUGUUGGUGGGGUAGUGGCUUACCAAGGCUUUGACGGGUAGCCGGGCUGAGAGGGUGACCGGCCACAUUGGGACUGAGAUACGGCCCAGACUCCAACGGGAGGCAGCAGUGGGGAAUAUUGCACAAUGGGCGGAAGCCUGAUGCAGCAACGCCGCGUGCGGGAUGACGGCCUUCGGGUUGUAAACCGCUUUCGCCUGUGACGAAGCGUGAGUGACGGUAAUGGGUAAAGAAGCACCGGCUAACUACGUG
rnacentral:rRNA from 1 species